rnacentral:rRNA from 1 species
CCUACGGGAGGCAGCAGUAGGGAAUAUUGGGCAAUGGAGGCAACUCUGACCCAGCCAUGCCGCGUGCAGGAUGAAGGCGCUCAGCGUUGUAAACUGCUUUUAUCAGGGAAGAACUAUGGGGAUGCGUCCUUAUUUGACGGUACCUGAGGAAUAAGCACCGGCUAACUCCGUGCCAGCAGCCGCGGUAAUACGGAGGGUGCAAGCGUUGUCCGGAUUUAUUGGGUUUAAAGGGUGCGUAGGUGGUUUUUUAAGUCUGGUUUGAAAGCAAGUGGCUCAACCAUUUGAUGUGGCUGGAAACUGGGGAACUUGAAUGGAUUGGCGGUAGCCGGAACGGGUCAUGUAGCGGUGAAAUGCAUAGAUAUGACCCAGAACACCGAUUGCGAAGGCAGGCUACUACGAUUUGAUUGACACUGAGGCACGAGAGCAUGGGUAGCGGAACAGGAUUAGAUACCCUGGUAGUCCAUGCCGUAAACGAUGAUUACUGGNUGUGUGUGUNUAGNAUGNGUGNGNGAGNGAAGAGUAGUAUACNCGNGGAGACGCGUGNGACGAGUAGAAGUAAAGUAGUAGUAGAGACGNGAGAGNGCGACGGACGACGACGAGGGAGGAGG